rnacentral:tRNA from 1 species
GCCUUCUUGGCUCAGUUGGCAGAGCGUCUGCCUAGUAAGCAGAAGGUCAUCAGUUCGAUUCUGAUAGAAGGCA